AGAGUUUGAUCAUGGCUCAGAUUGAACGCUGGCGGCAGGCCUAACACAUGCAAGUCGAACGGUAACAGGAAACAGCUUGCUGUUUCGCUGACGAGUGGCGGACGGGUGAGUAAUGUCUGGGAAACUGCCUGAUGGAGGGGGAUAACUACUGGAAACGGUAGCUAAUACCGCAUAACGUCGCAAGACCAAAGAGGGGGACCUUCGGGCCUCUUGCCAUCAGAUGUGCCCAGAUGGGAUUAGCUAGUAGGUGGGGUAACGGCUCACCUAGGCGACGAUCCCUAGCUGGUCUGAGAGGAUGACCAGCCACACUGGAACUGAGACACGGUCCAGACUCCUACGGGAGGCAGCAGUGGGGAAUAUUGCACAAUGGGCGCAAGCCUGAUGCAGCCAUGCCGCGUGUAUGAAGAAGGCCUUCGGGUUGUAAAGUACUUUCAGCGGGAAGGAAGGGAGUAAAGUUAAUACCUUUGCUCAUUGACGUUACCCGCAGAAGAAGCACCGGCUAACUCCGUGCCAGCAGCCGCGGUAAUACGGAGGGUGCAAGCGUUAAUCGGAAUUACUGGGCGUAAAGCGCACGCAGGCGGUUUGUUAAGUCAAAUGUGAAAUUCCCGGGCUCAACCUGGGAACUGCAUCUGAUACUGGCAAGCUUGAGUCUCGUAGAGGGGGGUAGAAUUCCAGGUGUAGCGGUGAAAUGCGUAGAGAUCUGGAGGAAUACCGGUGGCGAAGGCGGCCCCCUGGACGAAGACUGACGCUCAGGUGCGAAAGCGUGGGGAGCAAACAGGAUUAGAUACCCUGGUAGUCCACGCCGUAAACGAUGUCGACUUGGAGGUUGUGCCCUUGAGGCGUGGCUUCCGGAGCUAACGCGUUAAGUCGACCGCCUGGGGAGUACGGCCGCAAGGUUAAAACUCAAAUGAAUUGACGGGGGCCCGCACAAGCGGUGGAGCAUGUGGUUUAAUUCGAUGCAACGCGAAGAACCUUACCUGGUCUUGACAUCCACGGAAGUUUUCAGAGAUGAGAAUGUGCCUUCGGGAACCGUGAGACAGGUGCUGCAUGGCUGUCGUCAGCUCGUGUUGUGAAAUGUUGGGUUAAGUCCCGCAACGAGCGCAACCCUUAUCCUUUGUUGCCAGCGGUCCGGCCGGGAACUCAAAGGAGACUGCCAGUGAUAAACUGGAGGAAGGUGGGGAUGACGUCAAGUCAUCAUGGCCCUUACGACCAGGGCUACACACGUGCUACAAUGGCGCAUACAAAGAGAAGCGACCUCGCGAGAGCAAGCGGACCUCAUAAAGUGCGUCGUAGUCCGGAUUGGAGUCUGCAACUCGACUCCAUGAAGUCGGAAUCGCUAGUAAUCGUGGAUCAGAAUGCCACGGUGAAUACGUUCCCGGGCCUUGUACACACCGCCCGUCACACCAUGGGAGUGGGUUGCAAAAGAAGUAGGUAGCUUAACCUUCGGGAGGGCGCUUACCACUUUGUGAUUCAUGACUGGGGUGAAGUCGUAACAAGGUAACCGUAGGGGAACCUGCGGUUG
rnacentral:rRNA from 1 species